rnacentral:rRNA from 1 species
AUUGAGCGCUGGCGGCAGGCCUAACACAUGCAAGUCGAGCGGAUGAAGGGAGCUUGCUCCUGGAUUCAGCGGCGGACGGGUGAGUAAUGCCUAGGAAUCUGCCUGGUAGUGGGGGAUAACGUUCGGAAACGGGCGCUAAUACCGCAUACGUCCUGAGGGAGAAAGUGGGGGAUCUUCGGACCUCACGCUAUCAGAUGAGCCUAGGUCGGAUUAGCUAGUUGGUGGGGUAAAGGCCUACCAAGGCGACGAUCCGUAACUGGUCUGAGAGGAUGAUCAGUCACACUGGAACUGAGACACGGUCCAGACUCCUACGGGAGGCAGCAGUGGGGAAUAUUGGACAAUGGGCGAAAGCCUGAUCCAGCCAUGCCGCGUGUGUGAAGAAGGUCUUCGGAUUGUAAAGCACUUUAAGUUGGGAGGAAGGGCAGUAAGUUAAUACCUUGCUGUUUUGACGUUACCAACAGAAUAAGCACCGGCUAACUUCGUG